rnacentral:rRNA from 1 species
ACGCACGCUGGCGGCGUGCUUAACCCAUGCAAGUCGAACGGAAAGGCCCUGCUUUUGUGGGGUGCUCGAGUGGCGAACGGGUGAGUAACACGUGAGUAACCUGCCCUUGACUUUGGGAUAACUUCAGGAAACUGGGGCUAAUACCGGAUAGGAGCUCCUGCUGCAUGGUGGGGGUUGGAAAGUUUCGGCGGUUGGGGAUGGACUCGCGGCUUAUCAGCUUGUUGGUGGGGUAGUGGCUUACCAAGGCUUUGACGGGUAGCCGGCCUGAGAGGGUGACCGGCCACAUUGGGACUGAGAUACGGCCCAGACUCCUACGGGAGGCAGCAGUGGGGAAUAUUGCACAAUGGGCGGAAGCCUGAUGCAGCAACGCCGCGUGCGGGAUGACGGCCUUCGGGUUGUAAACCGCUUUCGCCUGUGACGAAGCGUGAGUGACGGUAAUGGGUAAAGAAGCACCGGCUAACUACGUG